rnacentral:lncRNA from 1 species
GCGCGGUGGCUCACACCUGUAAUGCCAGUGCUUUGGGAGGCCAAGGCAGGCAGAUCACCUGAGGUCGGGAGUUCAAGACCAGCCUGACCAACAUGGAGAAAUGGUGGCACAUGCAUCCCAGCUACUCAGGAGGCUGAGGCAGGAGAAUCGCUUGAACCCGGGAGGCGGAGGUUGCAGUGAGCCCAGAUCAUGCCAUUGCACUCCAGCCUGGGCAACAAGAGUGAGACUCCAUCUCAAAAAACAAACAAACAGGCCAGGUGCAGUG